AGGCAGCAGUUAGGAAUAUUGGACAAUGGGCGAAAGCCUGAUCCGGCCGCGCCGCGUGUGUGAAGAAGGUCUUCGGAUUGUAAAGCACUUUAAGUUGGGAGGAAGGGCAGUAAAUUAAUACUUUGCUGUUUUGACGUUACCGACAGAAUAAGCACCGGCUAACUCUGUGCCAGCAGCCGCGGUAAUACAGAGGGUCCAAGCGUUAAUCGGAAUUACUGGGCGUAAAGCGCGCGUAGGUGGUUUGUUAAGUUGGAUGUGAAAUCCCCGGGCUCAACCUGGGAACAGCAUUCAAAACUGACAAGCUAGAGUAUGGUAGAGGGUGGUGGAAUUUCCUGUGUAGUGGUGAAAUGCGUAGAUAUAGGAAGGAAUACCAGUGGCGAAGGCGACCACCUGGACUGAUACUGACACUGAGGUGCGAAAGCGUGGGGAGCAAUCAGGAUUAGAUACCCGAGUAGUCC
rnacentral:rRNA from 1 species